rnacentral:tRNA from 1 species
GGAGAGGUGGCUGAGCGGCUUAAAGCAACGGAUUGCUAAUCCGUUGAAGGGGGUAAACCUCUUCCGAGGGUUCGAAUCCCUCCCUCUCCGCCA